rnacentral:rRNA from 1 species
GAUGAACGCUAGCGACAGGCUUAACACAUGCAAGUCGAGGGGCAGCACAGGUAGCACUACCGGGUGGCGACCGGCGCACGGGUGAGUAACGCGUAUGCAACUUACCUAUCAGAGGGGGAUAACCCGGCGAAAGUCGGACUAAUACCGCAUGAAGCAGGGGUCCCGCAUGGGGAUAUUUGCUAAAGAUUCAUCGCUGAUAGAUAGGCAUGCGUUCCAUUAGGCAGUUGGCGGGGUAACGGCCCACCAAACCGACGAUGGAUAGGGGUUCUGAGAGGAAGGUCCCCCACAUUGGUACUGAGACACGGACCAAACUCCUACGGGAGGCAGCAGUGAGGAAUAUUGGUCAAUGGCCGAGAGGCUGAACCAGCCAACUCGCGUGAGGGAGGAAGGUUCUAUGGAUCGUAAACCUCUUUUAUAAGGGAAUAAAGUGCGGGACGUGUCCCGUUUUGUAUGUACCUUAUGAAUAAGGAUCGGCUAACUCCGUG